UACGUAGGGGGCUAGCGUUGUCCGGAAUCAUUGGGCGUAAAGCGCGUGUAGGCGGUCCGGUAAGUCCGCUGUGAAAGUCGGGGGCUCAACCCUCGAAUGCCGGUGGAUACUGUCGGGCUAGAGUGUGGAAGAGGCGAGUGGAAUUCCUGGUGUAGCGGUGAAAUGCGCAGAUAUCAGGAGGAACACCAAUUGCGAAGGCAGCUCGCUGGGACGUGACUGACGCUGAGACGCGAAAGCGUGGGGAGCAAACAGG
rnacentral:rRNA from 1 species